GUUUCCUUUGAUUCGUAAAACACCUUAGUGACGGUGAAGCUUGAAGAACUUGAAAGCCCUUCAUAUCUCUCUCACUGAAGACUGGUUGAAGACUGGUUUCACUGAAAAAGAUAAAAAUGGCAAUGUUUUUCAAAAGACUGAGCAAGGCUGCACCGAUCGCAUUCGAAAGCACAAAUUUUCGCAUCCCCCUUGGAGCUCUUGCCGCGAUUUCUGGAGGCUUCUCAUAUUACUACUAUUCGUCGCCAAAUUUGGUAAAAUCUUAAUCUGAUUUCAUAUCGAUCUGAUAAUGUGGACUGUAAAAAUUGUGGUCUUGAAUAUAACAUUAUUUUCAUUUUUGUUUUAAUGCUGUUGUCUAGAUUUUUGUAGUUUUUAAGCUUGAAAAUUUAAUUUUUUUGAUGUUGUUAUCUGGAUUUGUUUAUUUUUUAAGCUUGAAAUUUUAUUAUUUAAGUUCUAUGUAUUUUUCUCUGUCCAAGGUGUGUCACCUGGCGAACAAUCUAAGAUGAGAUACUGGGAAAUUUGUGUUAAGAGAGUGUACUGUGAUGUACAAUUGAAUUGGUCGUUCAGUAACCAGUCAUCCAAAAUUGGACGAAUAUAGCAUUUGAUUUUGUAUAUGUAUUGUUUUCUGGCUUUGAUAUUCUCGUAUGAUGUUAAGGGCUUAAAGUGCAUUGGGCAAAAAGCUUGCGUUAGAAAUUUCUCUGUCCAUGGUAAUGUGUCUGAAGAGUGUCAAUAUCCGACACCAGUUGAAGUGUUCAUGCAAUAGAGAACAGUACAUGAUAAUUCAACUUGCCUAUUACUUUGAUCUGUAUAUUAAUGUUCCUUGCCCUCAUUCCUAAGAUACUCUGUGUUUUUCUUGUACAAAGUUGAAAUGCAAAUUUUCUGUAAUUGCUUGAUACUUUCCAAGUUGAUAAUUUUGUUCAUUUGUUGAAUUGUUUUUAAUACAGGUUUAUUCAGAUCAACUAAAUGAAGAUGCUUCUUCAAAAGUUGGUGAGUU
rnacentral:lncRNA from 1 species